rnacentral:lncRNA from 1 species
UUUACCUCUUUUUGCCAAACAUAACAAGCGUCACAAUACCUAACUCUACUACAUCCGUCAAUGUCAAUAGUUUUUGAAUUUUCUGCAAUACUAGUUUUCAAUGCUUCUAAAUCAAUUUCAGCUUUGUUUACUUUACCUUCCAAAAAAGAGAAGAUAUGUUUGUCGGAAGCUAGUCGUUUAAAAGCAUCUACAGCUUCGUUAUGCAGUUUUUCAAAAGCUAUUUUUAAUUCCGAAAAAGACAUAGAGGAGAAAUUAUUGUAAUAGGCUUGUUUUACCUUUUUG